UAGGGAAUCUUCGGCAAUGGACGAAAGUCUGACCGAGCAACGCCGCGUGAGUGAAGAAGGUUUUCGGAUCGUAAAGCUCUGUUGUUAAAGAAGAACACGUAUGAGAGUAACUGUUCAUACGUUGACGGUAUUUAACCAGAAAGUCACGGCUAACUACGUUCCAG
rnacentral:rRNA from 1 species